rnacentral:rRNA from 1 species
AACGAACGCUGGCGGCAGGCUUAACACAUGCAAGUCGAGCGCCCCGCAAGGGGAGCGGCAGACGGGUGAGUAACGCGUGGGAAUCUACCUAUCUCUACGGAACAACUCCGGGAAACUGGAGCUAAUACCGUAUACGUCCUUCGGGAGAAAGAUUUAUCGGAGAUGGAUGAGCCCGCGUUGGAUUAGCUAGUUGGUGGGGUAAUGGCCUACCAAGGCGACGAUCCAUAGUUGGUCUGAGAGGAUGAUCAGCCACACUGGGACUGAGACACGGCCCAGACUCCUACGGGAGGCAGCAGUGGGGAAUAUUGGACAAUGGGCGAAAGCCUGAUCCAGCCAUGCCGCGUGAGUGAUGAAGGCCCUAGGGUUGUAAAGCUCUUUCGCAGGUGAAGAUAAUGACGGUAACCUGAGAAGAAGCCCCGGCUAACUUCGUGCCAGCAGCCGCUGUAAGAC